ensembl:lincRNA
AUGAAUGAACCUGCAAAUAUUUUCCCAAAGACUCAGUGUUUUCCAUAUGUUCUUUCAAUUUCCACCAGGGAGGUGAAGAAUACCGAUAAGAGAGCAGCAGAUAGAAGACAGGCCAGUCACACAUUCAUCCUGCCAUCCUCCUCGUUCGGCCCUGAGCAGGAGUCCCAAAAGGAAUGCAGAAGAAACUUUUGCAGAGAAACCGCCUUUCUUCUCAGAGAGACAGCGGUCACCAAGAAGCCAAAAGCUCUGCAAAAAAAGGAGCCACUUCUCAGACUUUCACCAUCCUCCUUGCAUGAGUGAAUCUCGUCCAAGAACUGGGAGAAACUUCAGAGGGGAAGCUUGCAUAGGCUGUUGGAUUUCAUCUAAAACAGAACCAACAAAACAAUCAAAAAUACUGCAAGCAGGGAUAGUGUGGUCAUUCCUUGUACAAGGGACAAGGAAUAUAAAAGUUCACUUCCACUGUGGGCCAAAGACAGGAUUUAAUUGAAGUUAAUGCACCUGGUUAUUCUUUUAUUCAUUCCCUUAUUAAUCAUGACACUGUAAUAUAUAUCAUUAAGUAACACAAAAGUAACCACAGGAGACCUCGUUACUUUGAGUACAUAUGUGCUGGGUGCCUGGCUGAGCCUUUUAUAUUUAUAACCACUAUCUCUGCCAGCCACUCCCAGGAGGGUAUUGUCACCUCCCUUUUUGCAGGAAGCACUGGGGCUGGCAGAAAAGAUGCUGUGUUAGCUUUAUAUGGCUGUGAUGAAAUACCUGGCAAAGUCAGGUUAGGGGAGGAAAGGUUUACUGUGGCUCACAGUUUCAGUUCUUGGUCAGCUGGCUCCAUGGCUCCUUGGCUCGUUGAGGGGCAGAAACAUCACAGCAGUGCAGGGGGUGGCGGAGGACAGGUGCUCACCUCAUGGCCGCCAGGAAGCAGGGAGAAAGUAAGAGCCAGAGCCAGAAAAGAAGGGGCCAGGGACCAAAUACAGCCCCCGAGAUCACAGCCCCAUGACCCGCUCCUUCAGCCAGGUCCCAUCUCCUGUUUCUGCCGCCUCCUAGGAAUGCAUUCCAUUAAUGCCAUCCAAAUAGAGUCCACUCGAUGUUGAGAGAGCCCCCAUGAUCCAAUUCAUAACCCCAAAGGCCCAUCAGCUAUAACCAAAUUUUCAGCACAUCACUUUUGGGGGCCAUUUCAACUCCAAACCAUAGCAGAUGCAAUGCCUCACAGUCUGCAAGAGGAAGAAGGCGGGAGCCAGUAAGUGUAUGCAGGCUUUGCUAGAAAUCGGAGUGGGACUGUAGGGAUACUGAAGAAGGUACAGCCUGUAAUCUGAGCACUUGGGAGGCUGAAGCAGGAGGAUCACUAUGAGUUUGAGGCCAGUCUGGGCUACAUAGUGAGUUCAGGGUCAGCCUGAACUACAUAGUGAGGUCCUGUCUCAAAAAACAAAACAAAAACUUUCUUAAGAUUCCAUUGAAUGCGUUAUUACAUAUCUGGAAAUCUACCCUAAGAAAAGUAAUUCUAAACAGGAAAUUAAUGAUGCAAAAAGUUGCUUAUGUUAAUGUGUAAUGUCUGAUAAUAAAGAAAUAAUAAUAUAUAGACAUUCUAUAAGAUAUUGUGCAGCUGUUUAAAGUUAUGCUUAAAUGGAAAAAUGAUUAAAGGUGAAAAAGUAACAAUUGAUUAUUAUGAAUUACCAUACAUAUAUAAAAUAUAACUCAAUUUUUUAUUGUUAAUCAGUGCUUUAAAUAAAGAAAUGGUUUUGGUUUUGGUUUUUUUGGUUUGUAAAUUUAUGAAUGAUUUUCUUUCUUCUUACUUUUCUGUUUUUUUAAAAAUGUAACUUUGCAGGAA